rnacentral:rRNA from 1 species
GAAUCGCUAGUAAUCGCGGAUCAGCACGCCGCGGUGAAUACGUUCCCGGGCCUUGUACACACCGCCCGUCACACCAUGAGAGUCUGUAACACCCAAAGCCGGUGGGAUAACCUUUAUAGGAGUCAGCCGUCUAAGGUAGGACAGAUGAUUAGGGUGAAGUCGUAACAAGGUACC